GAGUGUUCUUCAAGCUAGACAGCUUUUAGAAGUCUUAUUGAGUCAAGGAAUCAUGAUUGACUUAUCAAAUAAGUCUUGGUGUCGUUCCUUUUUCUUUUUAAUUUUCCAAUUAUCUUGAUAAUUACAUUCCAUAUUGGUGGGUGAAAUUAUCAAGUAGGGAGGGUGAAUUAGGUGGUUGAAUCUUUUGAUCACGUGUUGUGAGGUUCUGGGAGUAUUACGAUCAUUUCAAGUCCCUCUCGCGUCAAAAGGCAUGCAAGAUUCUACCCGCCUCCACCUACAAAUCGGAAUCGCAAGCUGCAAAGUGAGGGAAGUACUUAACGAAUGCGACCAGAUCUGGAAGAGAGAUGAAGCAUGACCAAAUCUAGAAGACAAGAA
rnacentral:lncRNA from 1 species